GACGAACGCUGGCGGCGUGCUUAACACAUGCAAGUCGAACGGAGAGGCCCUGCUUUUGUGGGGUGCUCGAGUGGCGAACGGGUGAGUAACACGUGAGUAACCUGCCCUUGACUUUGGGAUAACUUCAGGAAACUGGGGCUAAUACCGGAUAGGAGCUCCUGCUGCAUGGUGGGGGUUGGAAAGUUUCGGCGGUUGGGGAUGGACUCGCGGCUUAUCAGCUUGUUGGUGGGGUAGUGGCUUACCAAGGCUUUGACGGGUAGCCGGCCUGAGAGGGUGACCGGCCACAUUGGGACUGAGAUACGGCCCAGACUCCUACGGGAGGCAGCAGUGGGGAAUAUUGCACAAUGGGCGGAAGCCUGAUGCAGCAACGCCGCGUGCGGGAUGACGGCCUUCGGGUUGUAAACCGCUUUCGCCUGUGACGAAGCGUGAGCGACGGUAAUGGGUAAAGAAGCACCGGCUAACUACGUG
rnacentral:rRNA from 1 species